UACCAGCACCCCGAGUGGUCGGGACGAUUAUUGGGCCUAAAGCAUCCGUAGCCGGUUCUACAAGUCUUCCGUUAAAUCCACCUGCUUAACAGAUGGGCUGCGGAGGAUACUAUAGAGCUAGGAGGCGGGAGAGGCAAGCGGUACUUAGUGGGUAGGGGUAAAAAUCCGUUGAUCCAUUGAAGACCACCAGUGGCGAAGGCGGCUUGCCAGAACGCACUCGACGGUGAGGGAUGGAAAGC
rnacentral:rRNA from 1 species